UUAAACAGGGUUUCUUUUUGGCAGUCGAAAUAUUUAUCUCUUCCGAAGUUGCCGUUUGCAGCAGUUUUUGAACCUUUCUGGUGGAAAUGCCAUUAGGGUUUUUUUACAGGGACGGCAUUUUUUGGCUGCUAGCUGAAGCUUUUUUUUAACAAAUCUGGCCAUGGUGGAAGCUUGAGGAUUGGCUAAAAUGGGGGAUCGAAGAUGGAACUGAAGUGAUUGAGCUAAAUUGGUGGCAAAGAAUUAACCUUAUAUACAGUGUAAAGGGCUCUGAUAUUGCAUCUUAAUCAGCAUGUAUAAUGUUGUAUUCCAAUAAUGUACUUACUUUCGUAUUUGUAUGAUGUACCAAAAUAAAAGGGUGAUGGUUGCAUCCCUCUCUAAUAAAAGAAUUGUUCUUUUCAUUUCAUUUGACUUUCGAUAUGUUAAUUAUGAAUUAGGGUAGUACCAAUAUCCACGUGUCGUAAAUAACUCAUUCGCCGUG
rnacentral:lncRNA from 1 species